CGAAGAAAAACGGACAAUUGGUCGUACUAUCACAUGGAAUCGUGAUACAAACGCCGGUCGCAAUAUACUCUACAAAGCCCUGGGUAUUGUGCGGGAUGUCAUCGUGGUCUUAUUAUAGCUACUUUUAAGUAAUAACUACCAUCAUUAACUAUAACAUCAAUAUCCCCAAUAUAUUUUUUGACACCGAUACGAGAAAUAAUGGAAACUGCAACAAAUUUCGCGUCUACUUUUUGUGUUCGUCUUGGUUUUCCAUCGAUUAUCGGAUACGGAAAUCCAAUUCUAGGGGGGUCAAAAACUGCUAUCGGAAUUCAAUGUUCAAAUUUCCCCAUACUGCUGCUACCAUUUUUCCAUUAUAGAUUUUUUUCAACUCAUGUCCAAUCAUUCCCGCAAUGUGUCCACCUGAAAGAUUUAUUAACAGCAAUGUAAAACUAGCAAUAACUUGAAACCCGGCUUGAUUAGCUCACCUAAACUAAAACCGGUCAAAUAAACCGUAGACAAUUUGAUUUUAAAUUCAUCUGAGUCCACAAUAUUUUUGAUGAAAUUCAAUCCAAUUCGAAUUUUUUGUGGAAGUACAGAGUCGAGCCCCGAAAAAUAUUGAAAAAACUUAAAAUGAUCGGCUCCCCAAUAGAAUGCGUGACUUACAGUACACGAGCAACAAUUUUUUGUGAUCAUUUCCUCUGAAAAAAUAAUCACAUUAUAUUUUUUGUAGUAAAUAAAUUCAGUUAAAUGUUAAACCUUUUGCUAUAAUAAAAUUUCUGUCGGCUGAAUGUUGUUAUAAAAA